UACAGAGACUGCAAGCGUUAUUCGGAUUCACUGGGCGUAAAGGGUGCGCAGGCGGUCGGGUGUGUCAGAUGUGAAAUCCCGAGGCUCAACCUCGGAACUGCGUCUGAAACUACUCGACUAGAGUACUGGAGAGGGUAACGGAAUUCACGGUGUGGCAGUGGAAUGCGUAGAUAUCAGGAAGAACACCCGUGGCGAAAGCGGCUCUCUGGAACGGUACUGACGCUGAGACGCGAAAGCGUGGGGAGCGAACAGG
rnacentral:rRNA from 1 species